rnacentral:rRNA from 1 species
UGGGGAAUCUUGGACAAUGGGGGCAACCCUGAUCCAGCCAUGCCGCGUGAGUGAUGAAGGCCUUAGGGUCGUAAAGCUCUUUCGCCUGUGAAGAUAAUGACGGUAGCAGGUAAAGAAACCCCGGCUAACUCCGUGCCAGCAGCCGCGGUAAUACGGAGGGGGUUAGCGUUGUUCGGAAUUACUGGGCGUAAAGCGCACGUAGGCGGACCAGAAAGUUGGGGGUGAAAUCCCGGGGGCUCAACCCCGGAACUGCCUCCAAAACUAUUGGUCUAGAGUUCGAGAGAGGUGAGUGGAAUUCCAAGUGUAGAGGUGAAAUUCGUAGAUAUUUGGAGGAACACCAGUGGCGAAGGCGGCUCACUGGCUCGAUACUGACGCUGAGGUGCGAAAGUGUGGGGAGCAAACAGGAUUAGAUACCCUGGUAGUCCACACCGUAAAACGAUGAAUGCCAGUCGUCGGGUAGCAUGCUAUUCGGUGACACACCUAACGGAUUAAGCAUUCCGGCCUGGGGAGUACGGUCGCAAGAUUAAAACUCAAAGGAAUUG